ensembl:lncRNA
UUCAAUAAGAUUGAUAGAGUUACAAAUUUCAUUAGAAAGGGACAAUGAAUUGUUCAGGUUUAAAUGUUUUGUGAGAUAAGAAAGGAGAACGUACCCUCACAGGUCAGCACUCUUACAGACUCAGUAAGGUUUGUGUGUCUAGAGUUCAGCAGAGCUUCGAGAGCACUGUGGUAAAAACUCUCACAGGUAAUAGGAGAGGACGAGUUGAACACCAGGGUGGUAUUGACCACAACCAAACCAGGUCUAGAGGAACAAAGCAUCAUUUUUAUUUUCUUUCAAUGUAACUUCAUGAAUCAUUAUUGAGAAUAAUUAAAUGUAUAUAUCACGUAUUCGUCUUACAUAAUCUUGAGUUCAUCGAAGAAGCUGGCUGGUUUUUUGGUUUCUGAUUGUUGGAAAGUGUAGUUCAUGUAUCCAUCAAUCUUAUCUUCUGAUCUUCUGUUAAGUGAAUACAUCAAUAUUACCAUAAUAUUGCCUUUAUAAACACACUGUAAACUAAACCAUAACAAUAGCAAGUAAUUUUAAAAGAGAAAUAUUACUUACGUGAAGUUGAAAUUGUUGGUUUCAAAUCGCACUGCACAAGGCCUAUUUAGUAGCAUGUUUAGCUAAAGACAAGAACAAGUAUUUGUCAGCAUAGUUGUGUCAACACAUCCAAUUACACAUUCUUAGCUAUUCCACAAUUAAUUGUGAAUUCAUCAUUCAGUGUGUUGGCACAACUGUAAAAGAUUUCAUUUAUUGCACACUUGAAAAGAUAUUUUUUAGCAACAUGACAUGAUUAAAAUGUUCUGCGAUGGACAACCAUCCCAUCCAGGGUGUAUUCUCGCUUCAUGCCCUUGUCACGCGCGUGUUCUGGGUAUUGGCUCUGUAUUCCACUGUGACCUUGACUAGGAUAGACCACUUACUGAAGAUGAAUGAACGAAUGAAGAUGUUUACAAUACAUUUUCAGAUGUGAUUCCCCAAAUUCUUGUUGAGUCUAUGUUGGUAUUUGUAAACAUACCAUUUAGGUUCUGGAAUACACUGUUCUAAAACAAGUCCUCAUUAAUAGAUUAUGUUAUGUGAUGCAGGUGUUAUGUACACUCACAGCGUCAUUGAUGAUGCUCUUUACAUGGCUGUGGGUUUCGUUCCUGAGGUUAGGGUUCUCUGGAAUGCUGAUGUUACUGAUCUUGAAUAUGAAAAUGAUUGCAUAGGAUGUGUCUGAUAUUUCUGUUGAAAAAAGCAAAUAUUAUUCUGAUUGUUACAGAUUUAAAAAGAAAGGACCAAGAUUUGGACAUUUGUGGUUGUAUUGUACACUUAGAAAGGAAAACAUACUCUCAUAGGUGAAGUUCAGCACUGUUACAGAGUCAGUGAGGUUUGUGAGUCGAGAGUUAAGCAGAACUGUGAUAGCACCGAGGACCAAACUCUCACUGGGAACAGGAGAGGACGAGCUGAACACCAUGGUGGUUUGAACCUCAGCUGAUCCAAUGGCAGGAGGUGUAUGAAGUGUUAGGAGUUGAAGAAGAAACUCACUUGUCGACUUGAUAUCACACUCCCUAUAGAUGUAUAUUUCAGUUGCCUCUAUUAAUGUAGCAUUACCCCUGAAAUAAAUGCAGAAACAAAUUCAUGUAAAUGAAUACAGACUUUAUUUCCCAUUUUUAAAAUAAGAAUUCAAAUGUGUGUAUAAAACAAAGGAAGAGUCUGAGUCAUUACUUACGUGUAAUUUGCUUGUGAGAAGUUAACUGAUGCCUCAGUUGGGGCAUUCAAGAUUGUGUUCAUCUGAAUACAAGUGAAAAUAUUUAUUUUAUAACUUACAUCUGUAAUAGCAAUAUUUAUUUGUUAAUGUAAUAUAAAGUCAUUGAGUGACCCAAAACAAUAUCUUUCACUCACCAGGCUGUUGAUUUUGUACUGUAUUAACUCAUAUGUUGCGCUCCUCUGGUCCGUCAUCACAGACAUGCUCACAUUGCUGAUUUUGAAUGCAAAGUCUAUGCUAUAUGAGUUGCUUCCCGUUUCUAAAGUCAGAGAUUGAUUGAUUAAGUUUUACUGCUUAAGUCUUAAGUUGGUUUUAUUAGUUUCAUAUUGUCUUAUUUAUAUGAAAAUGUGUUUUUACUUAGAGAAUAUGGACGACUAAUAAGGAAAGAUACUUACUCUGAUAGGCGAUGUUCUUUAUGCUGACAGGGUCAGUCAGUUCUUCUAUUCCAAGAUCUCUCACUGAUUUGUUUGAUUCCAGGAGAUCAUUAGCAGCACUGAUAACAUCAGCCUCGGUAGGUACAUGUGUCAAGUUCUCAAAUAUAACCUUAAUAUAAAUGUAUACAGUUCCAGUUCUGAAAAAGGAAGGAACAUAAGAAAUUAUUACUAAAAUACAUGGAGAACGAGAAGCUGAUCAAUAAAACAGAGAACUACUAAUGUUUCAGUAACAUCAAUAUAUAUUAUUAUACAGUUUUACAUUGGUAAUUCACAAUGCAAUCCACAAUAUCCAUUAAGUACAUUAUAUGGCCAAAAGUAUGUGAGCUCAUGACCAUUAUACCCAUUGGCGGUUGCCACAAAGUUGGAAGUACACAAAUGUGCAGGAUGCCUUUAUACGCUGUAGCAUUACAAAUUUUUCCUUCACCGGAACUAAGAGGCCAAACCUGUUCCAGCAUGACAGUGUGCCUGUGCAUAAAGCGAGCUCCAUGAAGACAUGGCAUGUUAAGCCUUGACCUCAACCCCACUGAUUGCAAACUGCACCCGAGGCCUCCUCACCCAACAUCAGUGGCUGGCCUCACUAAUGCUCUUGUAGCUGAAUGAACACAAAUCCCCACAGCCAUGCUCCAAAAUUUAGUGAAAAGCCUUCCCAGAAGAGUGGAGCUUAUUAUAAAAGCACAGGGGGAAUAAAUCAGGAAUGGGAUGUUCAGAAAGCACAAAUGGGUGUGAUGGUCAGGGUGCACAUAGCUUUGACUGUUUGGUGUAUACAUGUCAGAGGUUGAGCUUACAUGUUCUCAUGUCUUGAAGUUGUUGGAGGAACUGUUGUCGUUCUUGGAGUUGUUGCUAAAGCUGUUGUGGGUGAAGUCGCAUGAAAGCAGUUUUAAUAACAGAUACAAUUACUGGAGCAUUUAUUUAAUUUCAACCACCCAUUCUCCAUUCUUAAGGCCAGAAUCUGUGGUGUAACAUACCACUGAUUUCAUUUAGGAAGCUGAUUGGUCGUUUGCAAUCCCCACAUCCAAAAUUGUACUCUAUUUCAAUGUCCACAUCCCUGUAAGGAGAGCAGCAAAAUGUAAACAUGACAAUCAUGCAAUUCACUGUACAGUAUGAUUUAAUAAACCAAUGCUUCUUUGAACUUACAUGAUGUAGGAGGUAUGGGGUUCAAAUGGUUCUGCACCAGGUUCAUUUAAUAAAAUGUUUAGCUGGAGAUGAAAAUAUAUAUUUAAAAUUCUGCUAGUAGCUAUCCUAGCACAGAUGUUUCAGUUUUAAUUGUUCACUGUACAUUCAUCAGUCUUCAUUUUGCUGGCCACAACGAGUAAAUCCCAUUGAAAAGAUAUAUCUUAUUUAAAACAUAUUUCUAAUUUAAAUUUUUUAUGGAAAUGCAAUCUGUCUGACUGACUUUACAGUACUGAACUUAUUACAACAAACCAAUUGCACAUGACUGAGAACACACUUGUUUUUUUCCCCCCUGCUAAUCAGCUCUUCACUUUAUUUUCUGUGUAAAUUUAAGGGCCCUACAGCUGUUCACAGAUACUUUUUGCAAGUCACUUCCUCUAACUCCAUUUUACUGUGUUUUGGCGAAACUAGUAAAAUACACUAGUUAGCUAACUUUAACCAACUGUCUAUUUGUACAUUGUUGAGGCCUCAUUGCUGCCUCCUGAUUUUUUUUUUUUUAGCAGAGAAAAAUUGCAUAGAUGCUAACAUCCAACAGUUGUGGAACACCUGCCUGAUAAAAAUGGUCUACAUAUUGUGAAACUCACACUUCACUCCUCACUGGUUUGCAGCAAGUAAUCUUUCAGGGAAAGUGAAAAUACAUGACUUUUCUUUUGAUUAACCAAAAACAUAUUUAAACAUUCUUCUGUCAUUGUGAAUUUUAAAUCCAUUUGCCUGACUGAUUUCACAAAUCACUCAGAGUCUAUUUUUUUUUUUUUUUUACCUUUUUUUUAUGUUAAAAAAAUUUAUUUAUUUUUAACCUUUUUUAAAGUAUCACAUGCUCAUUAAAUCCAGUAGAUCAAACUUUUACACAGGUGGUCAUGUUUACUUACUGUGUUGCUGAUGGAUGUUUGGAUUUGCUUGUAGGUGUUUUUCCUGAGGGCAUGCUUCUCUGGCAUGAUGAUACUAAUGUUGAUUAUGAAAUUAACUUCAUAGGAGUUGGCUGAGGUUUCUGUGGAACAAAUCAAACAUCAUUUUCUUUUUUUCUUUUUCUUUAGUAUGGCUGAAACAGUUAUAGGUUUUGUAUGGAAAGGACAAAUAAUUAGAUGUUUGUAGAUGCAUGGUGUCAUUAGAAGGGAGAACAUACUAUUAUAGUAGAAGCCCAGUACUUUCACUGUAUCUGAGAUGUUUGCAGAUCGAGAGAUCAGCAGAGUUUGGAUAGCAUUCAAGACCAUACUCUCACUGGGAACAGGAAAUGAGCAGUCGAACACCAGCUUUACGUUAGCUGUAUUUGAAUCAGGUCUAGAGAAACAAAGGAUUAUAUUGAUUAUUAUCCAAUGAUAAUUAAUAAUCAUCUACUUCAGUGAUCUAUUAAAUAAACAACAGAUGUUGAGCAUACGUUGAGUGAGUAGUCAUCACUGGUAAAUUUCCAAUAGGUCUAGGAGCCAGUGUUGUAGUAUAGCUUGUUUUUUCUGUUGAAUUUUUGAUCGAGACUCUCCUGGGAGGUACUGCUGUACCAGUAGUGGAUAAUGCUCUAAUUGGUUUUGUAUCACUUUUAGUAUGAGAGGUAGCUCUAGCUCCUGUGGCAUUUUCAAUGUGUAUAGCUGCAGAUUGUUGGGAAGUUUCUUUAUUGGAUUCAUGCGUUGCAUUUGUGUUUUGCCUGAAAUCAUCAUUCAUCCUCAUUUUCUCCAUUUUAGAUGUCUCAGGAUUCUGGUGUUCUGUUGUCCUGCAAUCAAUAUUAUAUGAGGGAUUUGUUAAAGUAAAUAUUGACACUGUAUUGAUAUACUUUAACCACUGACAUUAGCUAGCUCAUGCCCUACAGCCUUCAUUCCAGCAAUAAAUACAUUUUUCUUGGAGAAAAUAAACGGUACUUACGCUUGGGCACCAGUCCAGGUAAGCACCCACCAUAUACAUACUGUCACAAAUAAAGAACAUGUUCAUUUAAAAUAUAUUUUUAAUGCACAGGUUACACAUCCUUUUAUUGACUUUGGGUUUUAGAAAGACUAAAAAUGGUCAAUUGUGUCCCAAUUAAACUCGUACAUAGAAAUUAUGGUAUUAUGUAGUAAUAAUCGUACAGUAUGUAAUCAUUAUAAUCAUAUUGCAAACACUAUAUUCAGAACUUAAUUUAACACUAUAUUCCAUAACUUAAUAUAACUUGCCUUAAUGAAUACCAUAAGCUUACUUUCAUAAAUGAAACAAAAUAUAUAAAUAUUACAUAAAUAUCAAUUGUACUUACAUAUGGUGAGGAGUGUAGUUUUUCUGGUGCCAUGAUUUUUAGAAAAGGCAAACCUAUUGAUAUACAGCGAUAUUAAAUCUCACUUCUAGUUUAUAGAAUAUGCUAGGCUUUUCUGAUAUUUCCAUAAUUAAAUCAGGUGUCACUGAAGGUUAACCAAAGCCUAUUGUAUAUUUUUAUCAUUAUGCUAUACUGGAUACUGAAAUUAAAACUGUGUAGCUAAUAUAUCUGCUAUAGAUUAUCAAUUGUGUAGUCUAUGAAAUAUAGUAUGCUAGUUUAAUUUAAAAUGAAUGAUUUAAGCAAACAAGAAGUCAACGAGUCUAAAAACCUUUGCAUGAUCAUAAUUUUUCUUUCAAAUUAAAACACAAUUCCAUCAGAGAAUACAUAAAUGCCUUGUAAUUGCUUCUAAAUUUAUUUCCAUCACUGUUAAUUAUAGAGAUGGAGACCAAUAGCUGUUGUGUAACAAGCAACACCUGCCAGACUGCAAUGAAUAAUCUGUCAUUUUGAUCUUUCAUUUAAUUUCGUACAAAUAAAUACUACAUAUUAAUUAAAACAUUAGAAUUAACAGUGAAAAUGUUUUUGUUACCUUAGUUUAUUCUUCAAAGUCAUAACCAUCCAGUCUCAAGUGAAAAUCUGUGCACAGUAACACACUCAGUGAUUUUUCGUAAAGGUAACAAACUGUGUCUUUGGAAGGUGAUUUAUC